AAGCUGGAAGACGAGGAUCUCGUCACCUACAUCCUCACGGGUCUUGGUGAGGAAUUUGAAUCUAUUAUUACUGUUGUUGCCAACAGGGUGGAGCCGAUCACCGUUCCCGAGCUUUAUGCUCAGCUGAUUGCGCACGAGC
rnacentral:snoRNA from 1 species